ACGGGAGGCAGCAGCUAAGAAUAUUCCGCAAUGGACGAAAGUCUGACGGAGCGACGCCGCGUGGAUGAUGAAGGUCGAAAGAUUGUAAAAUCCUUUUAGGCGUGAAGAAUAAGAGGUGCAGGGAAUGGCUUCACGGUGACGGUAGCUCCUGAAUAAGCAACGGCUAAUUACGUGCCAGCAGCCGCGGUAACACGUAAGUUGCGAGCGUUGUUCGGAAUUAUUGGGCGUAAAGGGUAUGUAGGCGGUCGUGCAAGCUUGGUGUGAAAGGCAGGGGCUCAACCCCUGGACUGCAUUGAGAACUGCAUGACUUGAAUUGCUGAAGGGCAGCCGGAAUUCCAGGUGUAGGGGUGAAAUCUGUAGAUAUCUGGAAGAACACCAAUGGCGAAGGCAGGCUGCUGGCAGAUGAUUGACGCUGAGGUACGAAAGUGCGGGGAGCAAACAGGAUUAGAUACCCUGGUA
rnacentral:rRNA from 1 species